rnacentral:tRNA from 1 species
GGAGGAUUACCCAAGUGGCUAAAGGGGGCAGACUGUAAAUCUGUUGGCGACCGCCUACUGUGGUUCGAAUCCACAAUCCUCCACCA